rfam:Culex flavivirus isolate H0901, complete genome
CGUAAGGAAAGCGCAAGCUUUGAGCAUUGACAACGCUCCGGCCCCAGUCCCCCAGGUUAUGGAGGAAUAACCCCGACGUGCUGAAAGGGCACGAA